rnacentral:misc_RNA from 1 species
CUGGCACCUUUGUAAAAGAAGAAGAAAGAAGAGGGAAAACAUAGAAGAAGAGAGAAAAUGAAUUGAGAAGCUUGAUUAUUCCCUCAAGCUUAUGGGGUUUAUAUAGUGCUUGAAAUACAACAGGUAUGGAAAUACAACCUAUCAGUUAAUCAGUACUACAAUCAAUCCCAUAGGUACUGUACAUUCUAAGCCUAAACAUAAAAUCUUUACACGAUCCUACCAUUUCUGUUAAGUGGAGUGGUAGCAUGUAGCAUCGAGGGACUGGGGGGAGAAACACUCUUUGUCAGAAAGAACUCUGCGCUCUCAUGGAAACUUAAACUGAAUAAAAUUUCUUUGCAAAUUUGCAAUUACAAUAUUAGAAGGCUUAGCCCAUCUAUAUUGAUCGCAGAAUAAAGUCAACUUUUGGAUUUUAGACUAUUUUAAGUGUUACUCUUUAUAGACUGCCCUGCCACAACCCUUCUCCAUUCCAGGCUUGACAUGCAUUCAAAAGCGAAAUCUUAUGAUAUGAUGCUUGCAGAUGUCUGAUAUAUCCAUGAGCUUAAUGGUUAUUAAUUUGUACCUAGGGAGACAUGGAAGCUUGUUGUCGGUUCCUUUGUUACCACAUACUCUUCCAGCCUAUAUGGAGUCUAUUCUUUACACCCAAACUGUUGGCCUUUGUUGGAAAAGAAAAUUUACCAUAGGAAUUAAGGUGUUCUUUGUCACUUAUGUCUCUUAUUUAGUUAUGGAUUCAAGUUGUGGAGUGCAAAUCCCAUGCUGCAGAGGUUUUGUGGACAUUAUUUAAUGUUCGAUGAUGAAUUUUUGGUUAUAUUAGAAAUUUUUAUCACGAUGAAUUUUUGGUGAUAUUUGAAUUUUUAUCACUCUUACAUCUUGAAUAUGAUAUUUUAGUUACCAAAACAUUAUAAUAAUGGUGUAUAGCUAGAGGUGGGGCCGACUGUUAUUUGUUAAAGAUGUUGUUACUUAUUAGUUAUUACUAAGUUUAGUCUAUUGUUAUGUGUGAGUUUAUACAAAUGGAUUAUAUGAUUUACACAUGCUGGAACAUUUGUAGAGCAAGGUUUCAUCAGGAGGAA